rnacentral:misc_RNA from 1 species
AAGUCGUAACAAGGUUUCCGUAGGUGAACCUGCGGAAGGAUCAUUAACAGUUUAUGUUUGUGUCUGUUGUUGUGAUGUGUGUGAUCUGUGACAAUUGCCAUUUGGUUGGCAAUGUUAUUUUUUUUAACCGUUUUUUAUUACCUGUCUUAUACCAUACCAUAUACAAUUAUCGAAAACUGCCAGCAAUGGAUCACUCGGUUCUU